rnacentral:rRNA from 1 species
GAACGGGUGAGUAACACGUGGGAAACCUACCUCUUAGCAGGGGAUAACAUUUGGAAACAGAUGCUAAUACCGUAUAACAAUGACAACCGCAUGGUUGUUAUUUAAAAGAUGGUUCUGCUAUCACUAAGAGAUGGUCCCGCGGUGCAUUAGCUAGUUGGUAAGGUAAUGGCUUACCAAGGCGAUGAUGCAUAGCCGAGUUGAGAGACUGAUCGGCCACAAUGGGACUGAGACACGGCCCAUACUCCUACGGGAGGCAGCAGUAGGGAAUCUUCCACAAUGGGCGAAAGCCUGAUGGAGCAACGCCGCGUGUGUGAUGAAGGGUUUCGGCUCGUAAAACACUGUUGUAAGAGAAGAAUGACAUUGAGAGUAACUGUUCAAUGUGUGACGGUAUCUUACCAGAAAGGAACGGCUAAAUACGUGCCAGCAGCCGCGGUAAUACGUAUGUUCCAAGCGUUAUCCGGAUUUAUUGGGCGUAAAGCGAGCGCAGACGGUUAUUUAAGUCUGAAGUGAAAGCCCUCAGCUCAACUGAGGAAUUGCUUUGGAAACUGGAUGACUUGAGUGCAGUAGAGGAAAGUGGAACUCCAUGUGUAGCGGUGAAAUGCGUAGAUAUAUGGAAGAACACCAGUGGCGAAGGCGGCUUUCUGGACUGUAACUGACGUUGAGGCUCGAAAGUGUGGGUAGCAAACAGGAUUAGAUACCCUGGUAGUCCACACCGUAAACGAUGAGUGCUAGGUGUUUGAGGGUUUCCGCCCUUAAGUGCCGCA